CUCCUGGUGUUAUGGAAAAAAAACUUCCAGCUGAUAUCCCUGCUACAAGAGCUUUGGCAACAAUCUACAAUGCAGUGAUUAAGGCAACUGUUGCAUUACCUGGAAAUUAUAGUCGAUAUGUUGAUGGUCCAGCAAUGCAUACUACAACAGCUAGGAAGGUAGAAGCAGUUGUGAAGACAUCAAAUGCAGAUAAAACUUUGGAGGAAACUAAGGGGGCUGAUUGGAACAACGUGUUGUCUAAAAAAGAAGACAGCAUCUCGAUUGUCUUCUCCAAAUUUUAAUAGAACACAAUCAAAUGAACGAGCAGCAGGUGUUAAGGAAAUUCUUAGCAAAAAUCUGUAUAACAAACACAAGGAUCCUUCAAAAGGAAUAUGUAGCACAGAAUACUUGCUAUGCAAUCUUUGGCAAUAUAAUUCAGGCACAUUAGAUACGAAGUGUGAUGAAAUAUAGAUGCAACAUGCUAUUACAUCAAACCAAUAUGGAAUACAGGCAAAGGUUUCAAGGGGAAGCAGAGAUAUGACACACAAAUUAUUCAAAUUAAGCGGUUAUGUACUGGAUAUAAGCGUGUUAUUCAAAUUGAGUGGGUAUGUACUGGAUAAGAAUUCCCCUUCAGUUAAAAUGGAAAGAAUCUGCAAUGCAAGCUACGUAGUUAUGAGCUCUCUCCCGUGCUGCCCAAAACUCUGGAAUAUAAGCAAUUUAACUGUCAAAAACACCAGCAACGACCAAUCUGAAUUUUCUAGCUCUAAAUACUAAACCAAAGUCUUUUUUAGAGACAACACUAGAAACUAGAAAUCAUCUAUUUUCCCUCUAUUCUUUUUCUUCACAAGGCUACCAUCUUUACAAGGAAAAAUGUCUUAAGCAGUGCCCAAGAGAGAUAUUAUUCCAUAUAUUUCCAUUUUACUGAACAUGACGAACCAAAUAAUGGACCAGAGAAAGUAAGUUUACAGGAAGGAUUCUGAGCUUUGACUUGUGAAUGCAGUCUUUCCUAUUCCGGCAAUAAGUAACUACAAUUGUCUCUGCAUGAUACCCUAUGUUUUGACUAGUAAAUGUCUCAAUGUGCAUAAACAUGAAUGAAGAUGCGAUGUUUAGAGGCGAUGCAUGUUUGUGUAGUUUUAAUUCUCCAAGAAAAAAGUUAGAAAAUAUAGUGGAUAGGGGUGAACCUACAGAGAGUUUGCUUGGGUGUCUAUGGACCAAUGUCUCAAUCUGUUCCAAUAAAGUUUCCCUAGAAGAUAUCAUUAGUUGAUGUCAAAAAUCCAAUAUAUGUUAGUACAAAUUAGAAAUAGAGCAGUGCCAAAGAGUGAAUCAAUUCCGAUAGGUACUACUUGAAAGAAUAGUCGACAUGUCGUAAAUUAUCAUAUUGACUUCAGUGGAAUCAAUUCCAGAUAUGCGAAGUAUUGUUUGGGUUUAAAUAAAAUCACAAACAGGUCCAUAUAUAUUUAGCAAUCUGAGAGAUCAUUGGAACAACUCCACAGAAAGUAUACUUCUAUAAAUUGGCUCUACUACAGAUUUAUAAAUAGCCCCUCAGGAAUUAUCAAAUGAAAGUCACUUACUAAUUGUUUAACCGACAACUUUGAGAAAGGGAGCUUGGGUGAAUUUAGAAGAAUUGCCAAACUUGAAAAAAUUACAUCUUUCCGUUAAUUUUUGCACCUUUUACUUGAUCCUAUGACAAUUGUGUUGAGACUAUAUGACAUAUUUGUGCUUAAGCUUUUCAGAAGCUUAAAAAAUAUAAAAUACUAUUUUUUUUUUUGCCUAAACAGUUCUGAAAAACAAUGUAAAGAAAAUAAGAAACACGAAAAUAGUUUCUGUAAUUUUUCUUGUCCUUUAUCUUCAUAGAUUUUCUCUUCUCCUUUCUCUUACUCUCAGAUACCUACUUGAGACAAUAGAUCAGAAAGUAAAAAAAUAUUAUGAUUCUUCUUUCAGAAAUUUUCUAUUUUCCACCAUCGUAUCAUGUAAUUACUUUAUGAUAUUUAGAAUUCACCUUGUAAGAGAACAAGUAGUUUGUUUCAUCAAAGAAAAAGACCCACGCAGAAGACUAUGGCUCCACUCAUUUACCUAUCCAAAACAAAAAUAUGUAUAAUCACGGAGUACUAAAACUCACUCCAAAUCAAUCUAUCCUCAGAAAUUAUCAUAUUUAUGGGUAUAUUCAAUAAUCAGCAUCAUCUCACCACUUUUUAAUUUCAAUCAAAGCUACUAACAGAUGUGCUCAAAUCAGUACAUGCAAUAUAGUCCAAAAAAAUAUGAACAUAAUAGCUAUAAUCAUUAGUUCCAAAUUAAACUUACAGAUACCACAACAAGCAAAAAGAACCCUAGAUACAAUGUAAACCCAUGACCGGGAAAAAUAGGCAUCCCACAACUGCAACUAAUAGUUAUAAAAGUGCAAUUAAUAGUACAAAAGCAGAAACGUACAUUGAUGAGAAGAAAAUUCACAAUUAAUAGUAAUAAAAGUCCAAUUAAUAGUUACAAAACCAGAAACUUACAUCGAUGAGAAGAAAACUAUACGAAUGAUGUAUUUUCUUUAUAUGCCAUACGCGAAAAUGACCAGACCAGCAGACGAGCAGGUGAUGGUGAGAAGUAACAGGAUAAGGCGGAAGUUCUUUUAACACGACUCUGAAGGUUUUGCGAUUAGUACGAACUUGUUUUGCAAUCAAAACAAAGAGAAGGUUAAGCAUUUUCAGUAUUAUUUUGGAAGAGGGAGGCGGGCUGAGAGACGUGGGAUGUGAAAAAUAAAGAGGGAAUAAGUAGC
rnacentral:lncRNA from 1 species